GACUCCAAGGCUGGCUCCUCUACAGAUGAGGAGGCGUCUGAAGCAGGGGAGAAGGGAGAGCAGUACGAGGAGCUGGCCACCCCACCCCUUCCAGAACGACUCAUGGAGGAAAAGAAAAAGGCAGCUCCCUCCAAAGAUGAGACGUCAUGUGGAGACCUGAUCAAAGCCACCGUGGACAGCAGGACUGCCAGUGUAGGGGACCUGGAGGUCAACCCAGUGUCCAGAGCUAUCGCCCACCACAUGGGCAUUGACCUGUCACCUGAGGGCCAGGCUACACGAAACCGCCG
ensembl:lncRNA